UACGAGGGGGGCAAAUGUUGUUCGGAAUCACUGGGCGUAAAGGGAGCGUAGGCGGGUUUCUAAGUCAGGUGUUUAAUCCCGGGGCCCAACCCCGGACAGGCACUUGAAACUGGAAAUCUUGAAUAGUGGAGAGGUCAGUGGAAUUGGGGGUGUAGCGGUGGAAUGCGUAGAGAUCCCCAAGAACACCAGUUGCGAAGGCGGCUGACUGGACACAUAUUGACGCUGAGGCUCGAAAGCAUGGGGAGCAAACAGG
rnacentral:rRNA from 1 species